rnacentral:rRNA from 1 species
GUGCCAGCAGCCGCGGUAAUACGUAGGGUGCAAGCGUUAAUCGGAAUUACUGGGCGUAAAGCGUGCGCAGGCGGUUUUGUAAGUCUGUCGUGAAAGCCCCGGGCUUAACCUGGGAAUUGCGAUGGAGACUGCAAGGCUUGAAUCUGGCAGAGGGGGGUAGAAUUCCACGUGUAGCAGUGAAAUGCGUAGAGAUGUGGAGGACACCGAUGGCGAAGGCAGCCCCCUGGGUCAAGAUUGACGCUCAUGCACGAAAGCGUGGGGAGCAAACAGGAUUAGA